rnacentral:rRNA from 1 species
AUUGAACGCUGGCGGCAUGCCUUACACAUGCAAGUCGAACGGCAGCAUGGAGAGCUUGCUCUCUGAUGGCGAGUGGCGAACGGGUGAGUAAAGCAUCGGAACGUACCGUGUAGUGGGGGAUAACGUAGCGAAAGUUACGCUAAUACCGCAUACGCACUGAGGUGGAAAGCAGGGGAUCGCAAGACCUUGCGCUAUACGAGCGGCCGAUGUCAGAUUAGCUAGUUGGUAGGGUAAAGGCCUACCAAGGCGACGAUCUGUAGCGGGUCUGAGAGGAUGAUCCGCCACACUGGGACUGAGACACGGCCCAGACUCCUACGGGAGGCAGCAGUGGGGAAUUUUGGACAAUGGGGGCAACCCUGAUCCAGCCAUGCCGCGUGAGUGAAGAAGGCCUUCGGGUUGUAAAGCUCUUUCGGCCGGGAAGAAAUCGCACAGGCUAAUACUUUGUGUGGAUGACGGUACCUGAAGAAUAAGCACCGGCUAACUACGUGCCAGCCGCCGCGGUAACAC